rnacentral:rRNA from 1 species
UACGUAGGUGGCAAGCGUUGUCCGGAUUUACUGGGCGUAAAGAGCGCGCAGGCGGCCAAGUCAGUCGAAUGUGAAAGCCCCCGGCUCAACUGGGGAGGGUCAUUCGAUACUGCUCGGCUCGAAGACAGGAGAGGGAAGUGGAAUUCCAGGUGUAGCGGUGAAAUGCGUAGAUAUCUGGAGGAACACCGGUGGCGAAGGCGACAUCCUGGACCGGUAUUGACGCUGAGGCGCGAAAGCCAGGGGAGCAAAGCGGGG